rnacentral:rRNA from 1 species
UGGGGAAUUUUGCACAAUGGGGGAAACCCUGAUGCAGCGACGCCGCGUGAUUUAGAAGGCCUUCGGGUUGUAAAAAUCUUUUCUAUGGGAAGAAAAUGACAGUACCAUAGGAAUAAGGACCGGCUAAUUACGUGCCAGCAGCCGCGGUAAUACGUAAGGUCCGAGCGUUGUCCGGAAUCAUUGGGCGUAAAGGGUACGUAGGCGGGUAAGCAAGUUAGAAGUGAAAUCCUAUAGCUCAACUAUAGUAAGCUUUUAAAACUGCUCAUCUUGAGGUAUGGAAGGGAAAGUGGAAUUCCUAGUGCAGCGGUGAAAUGCGCAGAUAUUAGGAGGAAUACCGGUGGCGAAGGCGACUUUCUGGCCAUAACCUGACGCUGAGGUACGAAAGCGUGGGUAGCAAACAGG